CUCUAUGGUGGGCUGGGCGGGGGCACCGCAAGGUGCGCCGGUGUAGGUAUGGCCGGUAAGACCAACUCCGUUCAGUUCACCACCCGU
rfam:Yokenella regensburgei ATCC 43003 genomic scaffold Scfld157, whole genome shotgun sequence.